CUGCCACCGACCACCNNNNNNNNNNCCCACCCCAGCCUCUCCCCACACCCUGCAGUGGCUGCUCCGCCAGGCUGUGUGGCUCUGCCUGGUCUGCACGUGUCAUGGAAGUGGACCUGGGCACGCCGCGGCCUUUCCUGCCUGCCCUCCCCUCAGCAUUGUCUCCACAAGCUGCACCCACACAGUAGCACGUGGCACUGCCUCCUUCCUGCGCUGAACCCAACCCACUGCGUCCACUGCGUGGAGACCGCACCUCUGCAUCCGUCCUCAUGUGGGAGUGGGGCACGCGUGAGGCCUCGGUCCCCACCUGUGGACUCAGGGUCUCUUCCACGGACUGCGGGGAAGGCAGUGGGAGCAGCAGGAACAGAUGGUGAAAGGACACGGUGCCUGCCCCCCGAGUGUCCGAGGGUAGAGCUGGGGCAGGGUCACAGUCACCCCAAAGCCGCCCCAGCCCCUCCUUGCCUAUCCCCAGCUGAACCAGCACCACUCAGGCAGUCGCCGCCACUGGGGUGUGGCUCUGGGGCCCGGCACCGGGUCCCCAACCCUGCUUGCUUUCCUCCUGGAGCCCGGCCUCUGAGGACUCUAAUGCUUCGUGUGAUGGGAGCCUCAGGACUUUCCCACGCGCGACAGGCACGUUCCUGGGAGCUCGGUGGGAGGAACCCAGCCACGUUGUGUGCUGCGCAAGGAGCCGGCGGCAGGGAGGGGAAAACGGAAAGACGCAGAGGAGGGCAGG
rnacentral:lncRNA from 1 species